UACAGAGGUCUCAAGCGUUGUUCGGAUUCAUUGGGCGUAAAGGGUGCGUAGGCGGCGCGGUAAGUCGGGUGUGAAAUCUCGGAGCUUAACUCCGAAACUGCAUUCGAUACUGCCGUGCUUGAGGACUGGAGAGGAGACUGGAAUUUACGGUGUAGCGGUGAAAUGCGUAGAUAUCGUAAGGAAGACCAGUGGCGAAGGCGGGUCUCUGGGCAACAACUGACGCUGAGGAGCGAAAGUGUGGGGAGCGAACAGG
rnacentral:rRNA from 1 species